rnacentral:rRNA from 1 species
UACGUAGGGGGCUAGCGUUGUCCGGAAUCAUUGGGCGUAAAGGGCGCGUAGGCGGUUUGCUAAGUCGAAUGUGAAAACUCUGGGCUUAACCCAGAGCCUGCAUUCGAAACUGCCGUGACUCGAGUCCGGUAGGGGAGUGCGGAAUUCCCGGUGUAGCGGUGAAAUGCGCAGAUAUCGGGAGGAACACCAGUGGCGAAGGCGGCACUCUGGGCCGGAACUGACGCUGAGGAGCGAAAGCGUGGGGAGCGAACAGG